rnacentral:rRNA from 1 species
UACGUAGGGUGCAAGCGUUAAUCGGAAUUACUGGGCGUAAAGCGUGCGCAGGCGGUUUUGUAAGACAGGCGUGAAAUCCCCGGGCUCAACCUGGGAAUUGCGCUUGUGACUGCAAGGCUGGAGUGCGGCAGAGGGGGAUGGAAUUCCGCGUGUAGCAGUGAAAUGCGUAGAUAUGCGGAGGAACACCGAUGGCGAAGGCAAUCCCGUGGGCCUGCACUGACGCUCAUGCACGAAAGCGUGGGGAGCAAACAGG